CCUACGGGUGGCAGCAGUGGGGAAUAUUGCGCAAUGGGCGAAAGCCUGACGCAGCGACGCCGCGUGAGGGAUGAAGGUCUUCGGAUCGUAAACCUCUGUCAGCAGGGAAGAACGGUCACUGUGCUAAUCAGCAGUGAAUUGACGGUACCUGCAAAGGAAGCACCGGCUAACUCCGUGCCAGCAGCCGCGGUAAUACGGGGGGUGCGAGCGUUAAUCGGAAUUACUGGGCGUAAAGCGCUCGUAGGCGGUAUGUCAAGUAAAGGGUGAAAUCCCCGCGCUCAACGUGGGAACUGCCUUUGAUACUGGCGAACUGGAGUGUGGUAGAGGAUAGUGGAAUUCCAGGUGUAGGAGUGAAAGCCGUAGAUAUCUGGAGGAACAUCAGGGGCGAAGGCGACUAUCUGGCACAUAACUGACGCUGAGGAGCGAAAGCGUGGGUAGCAAACAGGAUUAGAUACCCGAGUAGUC
rnacentral:rRNA from 1 species